rnacentral:rRNA from 1 species
UACAGAGGUCCCGAGCGUUGUUCGGAUUUAUUGGGCGUAAAGGGUGCGUAGGUGGCAAAGUAAGUUGGAUGUGAAAUCCUGGGGCUUAACCUCAGAAUUGCAUUCAAUACUGCUUAGCUAGAGAGCUGUAGAGGAGACUGGAAUUUACGGUGUAGCAGUGAACUGCGUAGAUAUCGUAAGGAACGCCAGUGGCGAAAGCGAGUCUCUGGGCAGCAUCUGACACUGAGGCACGAAGGCCAGGGGAGCAAACGGG